rnacentral:rRNA from 1 species
UCGAUAACGAACGAGACCUUAACCUGCUAAAUAGUUACGCGAACUUUGGUUCGUGGCCAACUUCUUAGAGGGACUAUUGAUGUUUAAUCAAUGGAAGUUUGAGGCAAUAACAGGUCUGUGAUGCCCUUAGAUGUCCUGGGCCGCACGCGCGCUACACUGAUGAAGUCAGCGAGUUUAUAACCUUGGCCGGAAGGUCUGGGUAAUCUUUUGAAACUUCAUCGUGCUGGGGAUAGUCCAUUGCAAUUAUUGGACUUCAACGAGGAAUUCCUAGUAAGCGUGGGUCAUCAGCUCGCGUUGAUUACGUCCCUGCCCUUUGUACACACCGCCCGUCGCUAAUACCGAUUGAAUGGAUAC